ACCUGCAAAACAAACACCUUUGAAAUUAAAAAGGAACCGCAUAAACAAACAUGCAGUGAUAGAUGGAUUUGUACCUGUUGUAAGCCAACUUUUGGGUGAAUAAAGUUCAAUUGACUUAGCUUUGUCUAAACAUAUUUCUGCAUCAGGCUACGAACCAAAUUUGGUAUAAAUUGUAGCUAGAUCUUGCCAGGCAGCCAUUUCCAUAUUUCUUUCAGCUGCAUUUUGUGUAUCAGAACUCCUU